GACGAACGCUGGCGGCGUGCCUAAUACAUGCAAGUCGAGCGGACUUUCAAGAAGCUUGCUUUUUGAAAGUUAGCGGCGGACGGGUGAGUAACACGUGGGCAACCUGCCUGCAAGACGGGGAUAACUCCGGGAAACCGGGGCUAAUACCGGAUAAUAUCUUCCUUCGCAUGAAGGAAGGUUGAAAGGCGGCGCAAGCUGCCGCUUGCAGAUGGGCCCGCGGCGCAUUAGCUAGUUGGUGAGGUAACGGCUCACCAAGGCGACGAUGCGUAGCCGACCUGAGAGGGUGACCGGCCACACUGGGACUGAGACACGGCCCAGACUCCUACGGGAGGCAGCAGUAGUGAAUCUUCCGCAAUGGACGAAAGUCUGACGGAGCAACGCCGCGCGAGCGAAGAAGGCCUUCGGAUCGUAAAGCUCUGUUGUCAGGGAAGAACAAGCACCGUUCGAACAGGGCGGUACCUUGACGGUACCUGAGCAGAAAGCCACGGCUAACUACGUG
rnacentral:rRNA from 1 species